GACGAACGCUGGCGGCGUGCUUAACACAUGCAAGUCGAACGGAAAGGCCCUGCUUUUGUGGGGUGCUCGAGUGGCGAACGGGUGCGUAACACGUGAGUAACCUGCCCUUGACUUUGGGAUAACUUCAGGUAACUGGGGCUAAUACCGGAUAGGAGAUCCUGCUGCGUGGUGGGGGUUGGAAAGUUUCGGCGGUUGGGGAUGGACUCGCGGCUUAUCAGCUUGUUGGUGGGGUAGUGGCUUACCAAGGCUUUGACGGGUAGCCGGCCUGAGAGGGUGACCGGCCACAUUGGGACUGAGAUACGGCCCAGACUCCUACGGGAGGCAGAAGUGGGGAAUAUUGCACAAUGGGCGGAAGCCUGAUGCAGCAACGCCGCGUGCGGGAUGACGGCCUUCGGGUUGUAAACCGCUUUCGCCUGUGACGAAGCGUGAGUGACGGUAAUGGGUAAAGAAGCACCGGCUAACUACGUG
rnacentral:rRNA from 1 species